AACAACAGUGGAACCAACAGUGGGAACAACAGUGGAACCAACAGUGGAACCAACAGUGGAACCAACAGUGGAACCUCUGCUGCCCCCAGUGGGAAUGAGAUAGCAAAUGGAAAUGGAGUAAGUUCUCAAACAGCUGGCAGCUCUACUACCUCCCAGACAGGAAGCCGGGCAGGUGGAACCAAUGGUAAUAAGGUAGUCAGUGCUGGAGGCAACUCUAUCAGCAAUGGGAAGGAGACUCGACGCACAGGCAAAAGAUGAUCAUCUUGCUGCACACUCAUCACAGCCAUAGACUGAGAAAUAAAAUGGCCACCUCAACAGGUUUUAUCUUCAGUUCACCCCAUGGAUUGGUCUGUGCAAAAGCGCUGCUAAACAUGAAUGAAAGUUUGGACUACGUACAUUUGUGAUUAAAAUGAAAGCAGAUAGCUGUUAAACAGCUUCUAAGAUGACCCAACCAUUUGUCUGGUUCUCUCCAGUGGUUUGACCUUGGCCUUUGGUUCUGGAUAUGAGUCACAAUUUUGGUUUGCUUAGAGAAAACCUGCAGAUGAAGUAGUCAAAGUGUGCUGUGGAUCCAGCUAUCUCUUCCUCAUUCUUUUCCAUGGAAAGCAUUACAUAGGCCACUAAGAAAAAAGCUCAUUCUGUAGCGAAAAGUAAAAGUCAUUGAAGGUACAGGUUUUCUCGUUGGAGUGAGAUGUCCUUCCUUUGUAUAUUUACCCAAACAUGUUGUAAUGUAUUUACACUGUCCGUAACAGAUACAUAUUCAGUAUGAUUCUUUUUCUGUUGUAUGAACUACCUGCUGAUGCCAGGAAAGAGUGUAAUGUGUAUAUUGUAAACAGUGAGAAUGGUACAUCCAUGUCAUAUAUCUGAAAAUACAUGCAAAUGUAAAUAUUAAUUUCUUUGAUAUGAGUUCUAGGGGGAUUUCCUUCUGGGGAAUAUCCUACUCUAUGAUUUGAGGAAAGGACCCCAGAAAUAAUUGACUUUACAAAACUGCAUACCAGUUUAUUUUUAUAACCUGUUUCAAAAUAUGUUUUGUCAUUUGUGAAAUUUGAUCAAAUAGUAAUUAUAUCUGUGUAAAAUACAAACCAUUUUCAGCUGAAAUUGAAUGUGAAUAUGUCUGUCUGUUAUAGGGAAUAUGUAGUAUUUGCCAGAAUAAUGUCAACAUAUUUUAUAUUAGACUCCUUUAAAUGUGUAAAGAAUAUAGUUCUGCAUAUAGUAGAAAACCAUGAGAUCGAUCUGUUUCGGACUAAAUUAUGCGGCCAAGUUAAUUGGUUGCUAGUGUGAAAGCAAAAGAACAACAUGAUUUAUUAUUUUACUAAAGAUUAUCUUAAACA